rnacentral:rRNA from 1 species
UACGUAGGGUGCGAGCGUUGUCCGGAAUUAUUGGGCGUAAAGGGCUCGUAGGCGGUUUGUCGCGUCGGGAGUGAAAACCCAGGGCUUAACUCUGGGCUUGCUUUCGAUACGGGCAGACUAGAGGUAUGCAGGGGAGAACGGAAUUCCUGGUGUAGCGGUGAAAUGCGCAGAUAUCAGGAGGAACACCAGUGGCGAAGGCGGCCGGCUGGGGGUGUCCUGACGCUGAGGCGCGAGAGCGUGGGGAGCAAACCGG